rnacentral:rRNA from 1 species
GAUGAACGCUGGCGGCGUGCCUAAUACAUGCAAGUCGAGCGAACGGACGAGAAGCUUGCUUCUCUGAUGUUAGCGGCGGACGGGUGAGUAACACGUGGAUAACCUACCUAUAAGACUGGGAUAACUUCGGGAAACCGGAGCUAAUACCGGAUAAUAUUUUGAACCGCAUGGUUCAAAAGUGAAAGACGGUCUUGCUGUCACUUAUAGAUGGAUCCGCGCUGCAUUAGCUAGUUGGUAAGGUAACGGCUUACCAAGGCAACGAUGCAUAGCCGACCUGAGAGGGUGAUCGGCCACACUGGAACUGAGACACGGUCCAGACUCCUACGGGAGGCAGCAGUAGGGAAUCUUCCGCACUGGGCGAAAGCAUGACGGAGCAACGCCGCGUAAGUGCUGAAGGUCUUCGGAUCGUAAACCUCUGUUAUUAGGGAAGAACAUAUGUGUAAGUAACUGUGCACAUCUUGACGGUACCUAAUCAGAAAGCCACGGCUAACUACGUG